rnacentral:rRNA from 1 species
GCGAUACCGCGAAUGGCUCAAUAUAUCAGUUGUGGUUCCUUAGAUCUUACUCAGUUACUUGGAUAACUGUGGCAAUUCUAGAGCUAAUACAUGCAAUCAGAGCUCCGACCGGAGACGGGAGGAGCGCUUUUAUUAGAUCAAAACCAAUCGACGAAGGCGGCUCGCCGUCGACGUCGUUGUAUUAUGAUGAAUCUGGAUAACUUAUGCCGAUCGCACGGUCACGCACCGGCGACGCAUCUUUCAAAUGUCUGCCCUAUCAACUUUCGAUGGUAGUCUAUGCGACUACCAUGGUUGUAACGGGUAACGGGGAAUCAGGGUUCGAUUCCGGAGAGGGAGCCUGAGAAACGGCUACCACAUCCAAGGAAGGCAGCAGGCGCGCAAAUUACCCACUCCCGGCACGGGGAGGUAGUGACGAAAAAUAACGAUACGAGACUCAUAUGAGGCCUCGUAAUCGGAAUGAGUACACUUUAAAUACUUUAACGAGGAACAAUUGGAGGGCAAGUCUGGUGCCAGCAGCCGCGGUAAUUCCAGCUCCAAUAGCGUAUACUAAAAUUGUUGCGGUUAAAAAGCUCGUAGUUGCACCUGUGCGCCGCGCUGUCGGUGCACCGCAUCCGCGGUGACCACUGGCACGUCGCGGGGCAUCGCGUCGGUGAG